AGAGGUUGUUUGCUAUGUUCUCCCAACGCCGUGAGCGAUCCCGUCUUCUAUACCCUUCCAGGUACCCUGAAGGUCCUCCAGAGGAGAAUUUAUCUCCAUCAAAGCGUUGUUGAUCCGCUAAAUUCGUCUCGAGACAUAUUCACCCAGUGCAGUGCUGAUAAAUGUAGAAUGUUGAAUCUGUGAUAAUUGUCGACGAUGGAGAGAAAGGCUGAUAGCCGCUGUCGCAGGGAGAGUGAAGCUGCUGGAAGUAACAACAGGGAGCCCGUUUGUAUCACCUGAACAACCAGACUUCAAAGCAGCUUGACCAAAUCGGAGGGUGCCUCGUUGCUUAUCGUGAAUAUUACACCGACAUGAAUUACUACAAGUAUACUGGUCUGUCCAAUAUGCAUUGACCGUAUUGGGUAUGGUACCUGCUCUGAGAAGGGAAUCGCUGGAGCCGCAGUCCAACUAUACAGGCUUUCAAGAAACAGAGAGGAGCCAUCUUUGCAAGCUGAUACCUGAUGUGUACCGACAGAAUUCUCACGAGAUAGCUUACAGACUACGCC